CAGAGGUUCGAAGGCGAUCAGAUACCGCCCUAGUUCUGACCGUAAACGAUGCCACCUGACGAUCCGGCAGGGUUACUACCAUGACUCGGCGGGCAGUCCCCGGGAAACCCAAGCCUUCGGGUUCCGGGGGAAGUAUGGUUGCAAAGCUGAAACUUAAAGGAAUUGACGGAAGGGCACCACCAGGAGUGGAGCCUGCGGSUUAAUUUGACUCAACACGGGGAACCUCACCCGGCCCGGACACCGCGAGGAUUGACAGAUUGAGAGCUCUUUCUCGAUUCGGUGGGUGGUGGUGCAUGGCCGUUCUUAGUUGGUGGAGCGAUUUGUCUGGUUAAUUCCGAUAACGAACGAGACUCUAGCCGGUUAAGUAGCCCGAGCGGUUUUUGAUCUUUGCCGUUCAUCCCCGUUCGGCCUUU
rnacentral:rRNA from 1 species